GACGAACGCUGGCGGCGUGCUUAACACAUGCAAGUCGAGCGGUAAGGCCCUUUCGGGGGUACACGAGCGGCGAACGGGUGAGUAACACGUGGGUGACCUGCCCUCAGCUCUGGGAUAAGCCUGGGAAACCGGGUCUAAUGCCGGAUAUGACUCCAUGACGCAUGUUGUGGGGUGGAAAGCCUUGUGCGGCUGAGGAUGGGCCCGCGGCCUAUCAGCUUGUUGGUGGGGUGANGGCCUACCAAGGCGACGACGGGUAGCCGGCCUGAGAGGGCGACCGGCCACACUGGGACUGAGACACGGCCCAGACUCCUACGGGAGGCAGCAGUGGGGAAUCUUGCGCAAUGGGCGAAAGCCUGACGCAGCGACGCCGCGUGAGGGAUGACGGCCU
rnacentral:rRNA from 1 species